UCACACGGGCAUGAAUAACAUUCAAUCACAAUUUAUCAAGCAUUUUCUAAAGUGCCAGAUCCUAUGGCUGGGUGUUGGGGAUGUGGUGAACGUAAGUAAUACAGUCUUUGCUCUCAAGGAUUUAAGAUCAGAGAGACAGACGGGUAAGUCGAUGGCCAUUGGAACACAGUGUGAACCCCACUGAGCUCUUUGGUGGGAAUACAGAAGGAUGUCACCCGUGCAUGUGGGGGUUGGCGGGGUGGGGGAACCGUCUUAGGAGGAAAUGACAUCUUAGUUGAGACAGAAGCAUGAAGACUCAGUCAGCCAGGUGAGGGUAAAGGGGCAGGGUGGGGAGGGGGUGUUUCACCGUGAGGGGAUCCCCUGGGCCCACCGAGACACAGACAGACCCUGCUGCUGUAGGGCUGAGGCUUCGCUGGGGGCAGAGGUAAGGGGUGUUGAGAGAUAAGGGGUAAGCAGGGGGUGGACUAGGAAGAACUGUCUUCACCAUCAUAAAAGGGUUGGAGUUUAUCCUGGCGGUGAAGGGGAGCUUCUGAUCAGGGAAGCGUCUCAUCAGAUUUUCUUUAUUCUCAGAAGCUGAGAAAAGAGCCAGGAGUUUAGUUGGGAAGAAGCUCCGUACAUCAAUAAUUAGAACUCAAAGAAUUUCAGAUUAAUUUCAGUGGUUCUGUUUCAGCAAUGAUUUCAAUUUCAAGACGUUUCAUUGGACUCGGUUCUUUACCUCUGACCCUUGCGGUUCAUAAGUAACAAAAGUAGUCAUCAACUGAUUUAUGUGCUGUUGUCUAAAUAAAUGUUUAUUAGGGUCAUAAUCAUGGGCUGUCAGGGUCAGAAAGGACCUGCUUGAAAAUGAAAGCACGGUGGACAGAAUGGUGGAUCCUUCUUUUUUUUUUUUUCUGGGUGACUGCCUUAAUUUAGCUCUGCCUGGCCUCUGUGGCUAACCCCGAGACAGAGGCAUAAUGCCUAGAGGGGGACAUUGAGGAGGCCUGUAGGCCCGGCCCGGCCUGACACCCCCCUUCUCAGGGAAAUGAGGCUAUGGUGAGCUCUCCACAAUGAACCCAAAGCAGCUUCAUUUGGCAAGAGUUGGGAACGAGCGGGAGGGGUCAGGCGUCCCCAAAGAAGGGAACCCAGGCCCCAUUAUGUAAAUAGAUACCACCCCCUUUAGCCCAAUUUUGAAAGACAGAGAUACAAUCACCCCUCCAGGUCCAGACUCAAAGGCUGCCUUAACAGAAUCUGGCCCUAUGCUGUAUAUGUCAUUAGGAAAAAAAAUCUAUCUUGAUGGCUUAGUCAUUACAGAAGCGACAGUAGCAUAAUGCAACAGCCCUUGGAAAGGUUAUGAGUCACAGAGUGGAGAUGACUUAGAUUUGAUUACUUCCCACGGGGAAGGUUGAAGAAAUGGCUCCCUCAAACCCCAAGUAUUUUUUUUUUAGGGUUACUGGAAAUUUCAAUGUCACCAUUAUCCUAUAAUAACUGGUGUUACCUGUUAUUUGUAUAACACUGAGAUUUUAUAUAUUAUAGCUAUGAUUAUCCCCAUUUUAGAUAUGAGGAGCCAGAGGCCCCUCAACAGAGAGGUUAAGUAACUUGCUCAGUGUUGCACAGCAGAUAAGUGAUGGUUCCAGAGUGAACCCAGCAAAUUUCUGACAAGAGCUCGCACUAUAAAAUGUUACUUGCCCAUGAAAUAUCACUGUUGUAUGGAUGAAAUUUUAGAAAGAGAGAUAGUUUAUUCACUUAUUAGAUUGGCAAAGACUGGGAGGCUGAACGAUGUCCAAGGUGAGGAGGGCUUGGGGAAAAGUGUGCUCGGCUACCCCGUGUAGACAAAGUAUUGGGUAUCCAUUCUUCCUUUCCAAGCAGGAGUCAGAGGUGUUCAGGUAGCCACCCGUCUCCAGCUCUAGAAUGGAAUCUGAGUAUGUAAAGCCACUGCUUUCACACUAUAACAUGAACUUUGUUUGGCCAGUCAUAGCCCGUGUCCUUCCAAAACAUGAAAUCGAGUAAAAAUAGUAUUAUACUUUUCAUCUGGAGUACUGGUUUAUGCGAGAAAAAGAAAUAUCUUUAUUAUUUAAGCUAAUCUGUGUUGGGAUUAUUAUUCCUUCACAGCUGAAAGCUCCUGGGUGACUCACUAAAAGUGUGAACUUUUAAAAGUGUGCAAUACUUCUGGAGGGCAAUCUGACUAUAUGUGUCAAAAUCCAACUAAACAUACUCAGUAAUAUCACUUCUAGGAAUAUAUCUCAAAGAAGGAAAUGGCUGUAUGGGCAGGGUAAAAGGAUGUUCAUGCAAUCAAUAUUUUUAAGAGUAAAAAAGAAAGAAACGACCUAAAUAAUCAUCAAGAAAGAUUAUAUAUAAACUAUGUUGUAUUCCAGAGUCUAUGCAACAAAACACUAUGCAAUCGGCAACAUGAUGGGAUUUAGAAAGCAGUGAAUUGUUCACAUCCUGUCUCAGCAUAAAAGACAUGAACAGGAAAUUAGUCAAGCCAUUGAGUUUCAAUGAAAAGUUAAGAUGUGUUUUUCGCAACCACUGAUGCAUAAUUGAUAGAGUCAAAGAUCAUCACUAGAUGCUAAAACCUCUGGGUAAAAGGUUGUAGGAGGAGGAUGUCACUUGGUCUCCAAGGUUCUCCCUUGAGGUUAUUUAUUGAUUACAACAGGGGAAGUCACCACUAUAUUGAAGAGAUCUGGCAGAUGCUACUUAACCAAGUGAUGAGACUUUGUAAUCCCAACAGAGACAAACGGAGCCCACGAUGUGAUGCGCUGUAAAGUACCGACCCCACUUAGGUCAUAUUCUCGUCAGAAAGAUUUAACCAGAAUCUAGUCAAUCUACGCAAGUUCAGAUUAUAGGCCAUUCUACAAGACAAUGGGCUUUGAUUCUGAAAAAACUCUGUCACAAAAGAAAAAAAUAAGGCAGGAAAGAAUAUUCUGGAACACCACCGUCCAAUAGAAAUACGAGAGCCAUAUAUGCAAUUUAAAAAAUUUACAUUGCCACAUUAAAAAUAAAAGAAACAGGUAAAAUUACUCUUAGUCAUUUAAAAUGGUAAUUAUUAAUUAAUAAGUUCAACAAAUAAUUUUAAUUUUAUAUUUUUAGUCCAAUAUAUUCAAUGUAUUAACACUUCAAUAUGCAAUCAGUAUACGGGAUUACCAGUGAGAUAGCUUGCGUUAGUUUGUGUGUGUGUUGAGUUUUCAGUACAAUGUACAUUUCAAGCCACACGUCAAGCACUCAAUAGCCACAUGGCCAGGGGCUUCCAUAUUGGAUGGCUCAGUUCUAGAUUACAGAGGAUUUUAAAGAGAUAUAAUAACCAGAUGAAAUGUGGGAACCUGUUUUGGAACAACAACAAAAAUGCUCUAAGGGAGAUUGUGGGGUUAACCGGGGCAAUUUAUAGACUUCAUGUGGUAUAAGACUGUGUAUUUUUAAUAUUAGUAUAUAUACAUUAAAGUCCUUGAGUAAUAACUAUACUCAGUUGUGUAGGAGAAUAGUGUCAUGCUUAGCAGGUAUAUGCUAAAUUGCUUGGGUGAAAGGUCUGAUGUCUGUAACUUACUUUCAAAUGGCUUGACAAAUCACAGACCAUAAAUAGACAGAGAGCAAACAGAUAGAGAUACAGAGAGUGAGCAAGUGUUAAUAAUUGGUGAAUCCGGGGAAAGGAUGGUCAGAUGUUUGUUGUAAUGCUUUGUUUCAACUUUUUAAAGGUUUGAAAGGUCUGAGAGAAAACACAGAUUCUAAUCAUGAUGAUGAUGAUCCUACUGGGCUUUAUAGUCUACGGUGUAUUUUCACAUAUAUUGUUAAUUGGAUCCUUUCAGAAGUCUGUGCAGGUAGAUACAGUUGGUAUAUUUUAUCUUUGUUUUAUAGUCAAUGAAAACAUUUCUUCACGUGCCAGGCACAGUACAUACAUUUGCUCUCCUAAUUUCUGCAGGAGCUCCCAGAGACAGGCUGAGUCUCUCCCCUUCACCAGAGCUCACCCCUGAGGCUCUGGGAGGACAGAGGACAGUCAAGAUCCCCAACAAGAAAGUCCCAGCCUGACCUGACCUCCUUUCUCUCUUCGCUUCCUGUUUGUAAGCCCUCUUGGACGGAUGCAGAAAUGGAAGCCCAGAGACGUUAACUAACUUGUACAAAGUCACACAGCUACUAAGGGGCAAAGCCAGAAUUCAAGCCAGACUUCAGUCUCCCAUUCCAGGGCUCUUUUUUCACAGCACCCAAGCCACCUGUGGAUCGGCCCUCCUGCCUGAACCUACGCUCUGAAGUAGGUUCAGGCUCUGACGGUGACUCACAUGAGAAGAGGUCUUGGCUCAAGGGCCCUCAGCACAGGAAGUUAAUUGAGCUAUUGAAGUUGAGCCAAGGAAAGGCCCAUAAGCUCAGAGAUCGCCUCGCCAGAGAGAAGCUUUAUAAAAACAAAAGCACAGCCACAUCAACUAAAUCAUCUGAUGCUCUGAUUAAGAAGCAUGAGUGGCCACCCCAUGUGAUCUGUGAUGUGAUCUGUGCGCUCCAGCCCCCGAGACAAGAUCGGGCACAGAUUUCUGCCUUUGGGGUAGGAGGAUGGUAUUCAGGCAGGAUUACAUUUGUGGGGCUGGGGAAGGGUGAGGUGAUGUGGGAGGGAGGGAUGGGGCCUUUCAGGCCUCCAGUCUCACAGCUAUGCUGCAUCUUUUUUUUAAAGCAAAUAUAAUUCGGUUUUCAGUGAACUUUAAAUGAAAUCUAAAUUUUUAAUGGAAAUUAAAAUUUGUCAUUUAGUUGUAAUUAUUUGAUCAAAAAACCGUGCGCGUUACUGAAAGUCUUAGGCUGUAGAACAAUGAAGUCAUGUGUCAAAAUACUCAAAUAAGGAGAAAAUAGCAACCAUAACAGGAAUCUAAGGGAACGGUGAGUUUUGCAUCAGAACAGACUCAGUGCAGUGAGGACUUCUAAAGAGGGCUUGAUAGACUCCUUCCUCCAAGGACCACCCCCUUCUCUCCCUUUGAUGAGGGGAUUCCAGCAGGGAUCCACCAGGUAGCUGUAAAGCAAAGAAGGUCAUCUAUGGAGUGUUGACCUUGAACCCCAAAGCACUUCUUGAACUGCUAGAAGGGGCUGCCCGGGUGUUCUGGAGAUCGCAGGGUCCCGGUAUACUGGGGGCACCCAACCGCUCAGCUCUGGGGAAAAACAUGCACACAGGAGCAGCUGGGCACGCGCCCCAAGCCCCUCCCUCUGACUGUGGCAAGACCUGUGUUUAGGGGUUACACCUGCCUCUUUUCAAAUAGCUUCUCAGUUGAAGAUUCUGCAGCGACUGUCAAUGUAGACCCUGAAUCCAGGAAUGUUCAUAGUUAGUGCUGAGCGCGCAUGACGGGACAGAGAUUUAAUCAGAGACCCGGUUUAGGGUGAUGUUGGCGGUGGCGGUGAAGCCUGACGGUAGACACCAAACCCUUAGCAGAGUGGUCCUGGAGGAGCGAGUCCGGGUAAGCAGCCAAGAUCCACCAUUCAGACAGCCCGCGUGGGCCUGACUGGUGAGUGAAUUCUGCAGAACUCUGUCUGCAUCCUGAACUGGUCAGGCCUGCCUGUGACCUUCAUCCAGACCUGUCUGGAAGGGACCGGGACAGAAGAGUGGCAAAGCCAGCGGUGAAGGACUGUCCGGAAGCUCUCCCGCGUGCUCUCUCUGGACUGGCC
rnacentral:lncRNA from 1 species